UACGUAGGGUGCAAGCGUUAAUCGGAAUUACUGGGCGUAAAGCGUGCGCAGGCGGUUUUGUAAGUCUGACGUGAAAUCCCUGGGCUCAACCUGGGAAUUGCGUUGGAGACUGCAAGGCUAGAAUCUGGCAGAGGGGGGUAGAAUUCCACGUGUAGCAGUGAAAUGCGUAGAGAUGUGGAGGAACACCGAUGGCGAAGGCAG
rnacentral:rRNA from 1 species